rnacentral:rRNA from 1 species
AUUCCUGCUCCAGUAGCGUAUAUUAAAGUUGUUGCGGUAAAAAAGCUCGUAGUUGGAUUUCUGUUGAGGACGACCGGUCCAUACAUUGUAUGUGCAUCUGGUUCGGCCUCGGCAUCCUCUCGGAAGCCGUUCGGCGCUUGAUUGCGUUUGACGGAGUUCGGGAUUUUCACUUUGAGGAAAUAAGAGUGUUCACGGCAGGCUUGCGCCAGAAAACAUUAGCAUGGAAUAAUAAUAUAGGAUCUCGGCUCUAUUUUGUUGGUUUCUAGAACUGUGCUAAUGAUUAAUAGGGACAAUUGGGGGCAUUCGUAUCAACACGUCAGAGGUGAAAUUCUUAGAUUGUGUUGCGACGAACUACUGCGAAAGCAUUUGCCAAGGAUGUGUUCAUCG